CCUCCAAGCCAUUCUCGGGAUAGAUUCCUAAUCUAGCAGUCACAUGAAGGCAAUAUAUGAACCUAAACGAAUGUAUCAACUUCGAAUGGAGUCAAGUUAGCAGUUUGAAAACUGGCAUCCUAUCUUUAGCAUUUUAUGAUUCCAGAAAAAAUGAAAGUAUUUUUAAUAUUCAAGAUUACUUCUGAUACAUUUUUGAUAAGAUUUGCGAGUGACUGCAGAAUGAGGUUAGAGAGAACAGAAAGCAUGGGAACAGAAGUUGACAAAGUUUAUGAAAAAUUUUAAUGGAUAUGGGGUCUUUGCAGCAAAGUUAUUGGUUUCUUGGCAGAAAGCAUAUUGGCAGCUGUGAAACCAUGAAGCAAACUUCCCUGUGUUUAAGGAUAAAAUGUUAACACGAUAUACGAGCAGAAAUACAUUUUUCCCCGUUCCUCUAUUUGAAAACAAAAAAUGUGAAGAUCUUGGCUUUAAAGCAGGAUUCUCAAGCUCUUAGGUAUUGAGUGGACUGAAACAAGACAAGGCCAGUGUUUUACCAUGAGAGUGGCUGGAUAAAAAGCACCAUUGGGGAGCAGCCUCUGGAAGUCCUGCUAGACAAAUAUCUCCUUUUCUCCACUGCACGUGAAGGGAAUUUUCUUCCUCCAAGCCCCUACGUUGGAAACGUUGAUGCUUUUAAGGGGAGAUCUCACAUCUUCUAACUUCCUUCAGGUAAACAAAUCCUCUCGGUACAGAAAGGAAAAAUACCGAUAGUGGGAGGAAAAGAAAACACCAACAACGCACCACACAGCUGUUUUAUGCUUUAUUCCUGGGAAACGACUUAGCAAAUACCACAAAGCUUUAUUUAACCCGAGACGUUUCGGCGUACUUCCACCUCACCUGCCUGAAAUCUGCCAUCUCACUGCUACGAAAGAAAGACGCAGCUUUCUGGUACCGAUUUGUGCUUCGAGACCGAUCCGUGCGGAUGGUGCAGCUCGCCAAGGCGGCUAUACUUAGCGCGAGCGGCGAUGAAUCACCGCCGGCCCCGGGAGGCGAGCGGCGUUGAGGAUUGACUGCGGCACAUUAGGUUAACGGUGUCUCCACAACCCAACACCCACACUUUGACAUCACGCCGCCGACGAUAGGCAUCGCUGACGCAAGCGCUGCCAGGCUGGAAUACAAAGGCCAGGGCAGCUGCAGCAAGCUGACGUCGCGGCACGGCCGGCCACGCUGUGCUCAAUCAAUAGUCCCAGAUGCCACCAAGAGUUGUGCCGCUCUCGCUCUGACAUAACGGCCAAGGCUCCGAAGUUUUAUUUCGGGCUCCCAGCAGCUAGAUAAUGACAAGAAUAAAGCCGGUUAUCGACAACAAA